rnacentral:rRNA from 1 species
UACAGGGGGGGCAAGCGUUGUUCGGAAUUAUUGGGCGUAAAGAGCUCGUAGGCGGUUUGUCGCGUCUGCUGUGAAAACCGGAGGCUCAACCUCCGGUCUGCAGUGGGUACGGGCAAACUAGAGUGCGGUAGGGGAGAUUGGAAUUCCUGGUGUAGCGGUGGAAUGCGCAGAUAUCAGGAGGAACACCGAUGGCGAAGGCAGAUCUCUGGGCCGUAACUGACGCUGAGGAGCGAAAGCGUGGGGAGCGAACAGG